rnacentral:rRNA from 1 species
AGCGAACGCUGGCGGCAGGCCUAACACAUGCAAGUCGAACGGAUCCUUCGGGAUUAGUGGCGGACGGGUGAGUAACACGUGGGAACGUGCCCCUUGGUUCGGAACAACUCAGGGAAACUUGAGCUAAUACCGGAUGUGCCCUUCGGGGGAAAGAUUUAUCGCCAUUGGAGCGGCCCGCGUCUGAUUAGCUAGUUGGUGAGGUAACGGCCCACCAAGGCGACGAUCAGUAGCUGGUCUGAGGGGAUGAUCAGCCACACUGGGACUGAGACACGGCCCAGACUCCUACGGGAGGCAGCAGUGGGGAAUCUUGCGCAAUGGGCGAAAGCCUGACGCAGCCAUGCCGCGUGAAUGAUGAAGGUCUUAGGAUCGUAAAAUUCUUUCAGCGGGGACGAUAAUGACGGUACCCGCAGAAGAAGCUCCGGCUAACUUCGUG